rnacentral:rRNA from 1 species
UACAGAGGGUGCAAGCGUUGUUCGGAUUUACUGGGCGUAAAGGGCGCGUAGGCGGUCAGCACAAGUCAGUUGUGAAAUCUCCGGGCUUAACUCGGAAAGGUCAACUGAUACUGUGCGACUAGAGUGCAGAAGGGGCAACUGGAAUUCUCGGUGUAGUGGUGAAAUGCGUAGAUAUCGGGAGGAACACCAGUGGCGAAGGCGGCUAUCUGGGCUGAAACUGACGCUGAGGCGCGAAGGCUAGGGUAGCAAACAGG